rnacentral:tRNA from 1 species
UGGGGCGUAGCCAAGUGGUAAGGCAGCGGACUUUGACUCCGUUAUCCGUAGGUUCGAAUCCUCCCGCCCCAG